CGGCCGCAGUACCUUGCCUGUGCAAAGGUAGCAUAAUAAUUUGUCCUCUAAUUAAGGUCUGGAAUGAAGGGGGACACAGGGGAGAGCUGUCUCCAAUAAGGUUAAUUUAACUUUCUUAUCAGGUGAAAAUUCCUGAGCCUCCGAUGAAAGACGAGAAGACCCUUAGAGUUUUUAUUAUAACUUGAUAUGUUAAGAUUCUUGUUCUGUUUUUGUUGGGGCGACAGGGUUACAAUAGAUAACUUACCCUACCAUAUUUUUAUAUGGCGAUCAUUAUACUUUUAAUUAAGCUACCUAAGGGAUAACAGCGUAAUCUUUUUUUUUUGGUUUGCGACCUCGAUG
rnacentral:rRNA from 1 species